GACGUAGGAUGCGAGCGUUGUCCGGAUUUAUUGGGCGUAAAGAGUUCGUAGGUGGUUCAUUAAGUUUGGUGUUAAAGACCGGGGCUCAACCUCGGGACCGCACUGGAUACUGGUGGACUAGAGUGCAGUAGAGGCAAGCGGAAUUCCAGGUGUAGCGGUGAAAUGCGUAGAUAUCGCUUGGAACGCCGACGGUGAAAACAGGUCGCUGGGAGUGCGCCGACGCUGAGACACGAAAGCCAGGGGAGCGAACGGG
rnacentral:rRNA from 1 species